rnacentral:rRNA from 1 species
ACCUAGAGAUAAAAUUGAGUACUUGAAUAUUAAUAGUUAUAUUCUUUAAAAUUAAAGAAUUUGGCGGUAUUUUAGUCUUGUCAGAGGAACUUGUUCUGUAAGCGAUAAAACCCGUAGGAUCUUACUUACUUUAGGUUUAUAGUUUGUAUACCGUCAUUAUUAAAUAAUCUUGAAAAGGAUAAUUAUUGAGAUUAAUAAGAUUAAAUAUAUUAGAUCAAGGUGCAGCUGAUAGGUAAGUAGAAAUGAGUUACAAUAAUAUUUAGUUAAAACGAAUUAUAAAUAGAAUUAUUUAUAAAGAAGGUGGAUAUGAUUGUAAGGGGAAUUUAAUAAGUUUUUCUGAUAUAAGCUCUAAAUUAUGUACAUAUCGCCCGUCGCUUUCAUUUAAAGU